GACGAACGCUGGCGGCGUGCUUAACACAUGCAAGUCGAACGGAAAGGCCCUGCUUUUGUGGGGUGCUCGAGUGGCGAACGGGUGAGUAACACGUGAGUAACCUGCCCUUGACUUUGGGAUAACUUCAGGAAACUGGGGCUAAUACCGGAAAGGACUUCUUGCUGCAUGUGGGGGGUUGGAAAGUUUCGGCGGUUGGGGAUGGACUCGCGGCUUAUCAGCUUGUUGGUGGGGUAGGGGCUUACCAAGGCUUUGACGGGUAGCCGGCCUGAGAGGGUGACCGGCCACAUUGGGACUGAGAUACGGCCCAGACUCCUACGGGAGGCAGCAGUGGGGAAUAUUGCACAAUGGGCGGAAGCCUGAUGCAGCAACGCCGCGUGCGGGAUGACGGCCUUCGGGUUGUAAACCGCUUUCGCCUGUGACGAAGCGUGAGUGACGGUAAUGGGUAAAGAAGCACCGGCUAACUACGUG
rnacentral:rRNA from 1 species